CCUGGCCCAAGGAGGGCUCAUUCGUUCUGUAUCCUAGCCGCCGCGGGAUCGAAGCCCUCGGGCCACGGUGACCACGAUGCAGCUCUUGAUGAGAGUGCCCUCUCUUCCCGAGCUGGGUGAGCUGGACUGCAACAUCUGCUUCCGACCCUACAACCUCGGGGCCCGCGCGCCCCGCCGCCUGCCUGGCACGGCGCGCACCCGCUGCGGCCACACGCUGUGCACAGCUUGCCUGCGCGAGCUGGCGGCGCGGGGCGACGGCAGCCGCACGGCCGCGCGCGUGGUGCGCCUGCGCCGCGCUGUCACGUGCCCGUUCUGCCGCGCGCCUUCCCCGCUCCCGCGCGGCGGCGUCACGGAGAUCGCGCUAGACCCUGUCUUGUGGUCACGGCUGGAGGAAAAAGCCCGGGCUGAGCGUGAAGGAGACCCGAUGGGGAGCCCGGCCAAAGACAGCGGAGAGGAUGGAGAGGACGACGACGGGGAAGCAGAGGGCGAGAAGGGGGCGGGACCUCCAAGUGCGGGUUGGCGCGCGCUUCGCCGAAUUUUGGACAGGGUCCUGGCGCCGGCGCGCCGCUUGCGGCGUCCGUUGCCUAGCAAUGUGCUCUACUGUCCAGAGGUCAAGGACAUUGCCCACAUGACCCGUUGUACGCUGUAACCGAGGAACCCCGGAGCUAUGGCAGAAAGCAGGUGGGAGCAGCAUCCUCGGGCGCGCUCUGACACAAAGGGUUGAUGUCAAGAUUACCUGGAAGUCAAGGCUGAUGCUGGAAUUGGUACGUGUGUGAUGGAGAUGGAGCUCAACAGAAAGGACCCUAGGUGGUGUGGAUUCUGAGCGGCGAAGGCUCCUAGACUGUGCCAGCAUUACAUUUUCAGGAUGGAGUGGCCAAGGGAUAAUAGAAACAAAGCCUACCAUAAUGUGGGAAGGAAAAAAAAAAAAAAACAAAGCUUUGGCGUUUGUUCAGAGUCUGUGGUGUAAGCAAAAGAUCCCAUUUUAGCAGUGGUCUGUGGUUGACAGUGUUUAUUGUGGAAGAAAGAAAAGGACAGGACAGGGGAUAAGCUAAUUUAUAUGUCAUGUCAAUCUCACUUAUCUGGUUGUGUUUGCUGGUGUGCCAUCUUCCCACUCUUGGUACCGUGUUCCAGCAAUUACUGAGUUAUGCUUAUGAUUGGGAAUCUUGCAUAUACAACCUCCCUUCAGCUGGAUAGGGCAGGUAUGAAAGGGGCAUUUAUUUACAUGAGGCACUUAUUUACAUGAGGCCUUAUUAAAGGCUUAUCAAAGAUGGGUGAGCCAUUUGAUAAAGGAAGCAAAAUUUAGCCCUUUGUUAUCUUUACUGACUCUGUAGCAAUACUGGGGGAAAAAAAAAGAUGCUCACAUAAUUUUAAUUUGUGUCCCAUAAUGGGAUAUUGUUUACUGUAUGUAGUUAGUUCUAUUCUAAAAUCCUGUAAAUAUCUUACUGUAGACUUAAAAAUCAAGACCAGCAGUGUUGGUUGGUCUCACAGCUUGCUAGAAAUGCAGAAUUUCAGGACCCCAGUCCACAUUCCCCAAUAGUUUUAGAAUCCCAGGUAUGUGUAUGUAAGUUAAGAAUCACUGGUUUAGAUCUUAGUCACUCUGGGAUGUCAUCAUCAUCUGUAGGUGGAACAUUUAAAACACUAAUGACACAUUACUUUAAAGUGUCAAAGUGACAUUCUUUUGAGAAGAAAAAAUUUUCUGAGCUACAAAUGUGAAUUUACAAGGCCUCAGUUUUCAGAGGUCUUCAAGAUUUUGUUUUUAAUGACAAAUAAUGUAUGUAGUUCUAGGGUAUAAACCUCCAUUUGUAAAAUGUUUUGUCCUUUUCCUGUCCUUCGGUUCCAGCUGAAAUCUCCCCUUUUGGAGGCCAGCAUGCAUCUGUGGGAAUGUGCCUACUGUCUCUUUUCUAUAUACGUGUUGCCAAAGGGAAUGCUAUGUUUAUUUUCUGGUAUUUUAUGUUUUGAGUGUUUCUAGAGUAUAAACUUCAAGUGACUAUCUCCAGAGCCGAUAGCAGUGUUAAUGUUUAAUAUGUAUUCAAAAAAUGUUUGCUGAAUUUAUUUUGAAUGUAAUAGUCUCUAGAAUAAAGUAUCUGGGCUCAUUCAA
ensembl:processed_transcript